rnacentral:rRNA from 1 species
GAUGAACGCUGGCGGUAUGCCUAACACAUGCAAGUCGUACGAGAGUUUUUAACUCUAGUGGCGGACGGGUGAGUAACACGCGAGAAUUUGCCUUUAGGAGGGGGACAACAGUUGGAAACGACUGCUAAUACCCCAUAUGCUUUAGAGUGAAAUGGAUUUAUAUUUAUCCGCCUAGAGAGAAGCUCGCGCCUGAUUAGCUUGUUGGUAAGGUAAGAGCUUACCAAGGCGACGAUCAGUAUCUGGUUUGAGAGGACGAUCAGACACACUGGAACUGAGACACGGUCCAGACUCCUACGGGAGGCAGCAGUGGGGAAUUUUCCGCAAUGGGCGAAAGCCUGACGGAGCAAUACCGCGUGAGGGAAGACUGCCUAUGGGUUGUAAACCUCUUUUUUCAGGGAGGAAUCAAU